UUACGGCCACACCACGUUAAAACACCGGUUCUCGUACGAUCACCGAAGUUAAGCAACGUCUGACCUGGUUAGUACCUAGAUGGGUGACCGCUUGGGAAUACCAGGUACUGUAAG